rnacentral:rRNA from 13 species
GCCUACGGCCACACCACCCUGAACACGCCCGAUCUCGUCUGAUCUCGGAAGCUAAGCAGGGUCGGGCCUGGUUAGUACUUGGAUGGGAGACCGCCUGGGAAUACCAGGUGCUGUAGGCUU